AAAGGAAUUGACGGGGGCCCGCACAAGCAGCGGAGCAUGUGGUUUAAUUCGAAGCAACGCGAAGAACCUUACCUAGACUUGACAUCCCAAGAAUACUGUGGAAACACGGUAGUGCCCUUCGGGGAACUUGGUGACAGGUGGUGCAUGGUUGUCGUCAGCUCGUGUCGUGAGAUGUUGGGUUAAGUCCCGCAACGAGCGCAACCCCUAUUGUUAGUUGCUACCAUUAAGUUGAGCACUCUAGCAAGACUGCCUGGGUUAACCAGGAGGAAGGUGGGGAUGACGUCAAAUCAUCAUGCCCCUUAUGUCUAGGGCUACACACGUGCUACAAUGGUCGGUACAACGAGACGCAAGACCGUGAGGUGGAGCAAAUCUCAAAAACCGAUCUCAGUUCGGAUUGUAGGCUGCAACUCGCCUACAUGAAGCUGGAGUUGCUAGUAAUCGCGAAUCAGAAUGUCGCGGUGAAUACGUUCCCGGGCCUUGUACACACCGCCCGU
rnacentral:rRNA from 1 species